GUGCUCACUUCAGCAACACAUAUACUAAAAUUGGGACGAUACAGAGAUUAACAUGGCCCCCGUGCAAGGAUGACACGCAAAUUCGUGAAGCGGUCCAUAUUAAA